AAAUUGAAGAGUUUGAUCAUGGCUCAGAUUGAACGCUGGCGGCAGGCCUAACACAUGCAAGUCGAACGGUAACAGGAAGCAGCUUGCUGCUUCGCUGACGAGUGGCGGACGGGUGAGUAAUGUCUGGGAAACUGCCUGAUGGAGGGGGAUAACUACUGGAAACGGUGGCUAAUACCGCAUAACGUCGCAAGACCAAAGAGGGGGACCUUCGGGCCUCUUGCCAUCAGAUGUGCCCAGAUGGGAUUAGCUAGUUGGUGAGGUAACGGCUCACCAAGGCGACGAUCCCUAGCUGGUCUGAGAGGAUGACCAGCCACACUGGAACUGAGACACGGUCCAGACUCCUACGGGAGGCAGCAGUGGGGAAUAUUGCACAAUGGGCGCAAGCCUGAUGCAGCCAUGCCGCGUGUAUGAAGAAGGCCUUCGGGUUGUAAAGUACUUUCAGCGGGGAGGAAGGUGUUGUGGUUAAUAACCACAGCAAUUGACGUUACCCGCAGAA
rnacentral:rRNA from 2 species